UUACGACCACAUCAUGUUGAAACAUUGGUUCCUGUAUGAUCACUGAAGUUAAGCAACAUCAAGCCUGGUCAAGACCUAGAUGGGUGACCACUUGGGAAUACCAGGUGCUGUA